AUGAACGCUGGCGGCGUGCCUAAUACAUGCAAGUCGAACGAAACUUCUUUAUCACCGAGUGCUUGCACUCACCGAUAAAGAGUUGAGUGGCGAACGGGUGAGUAACACGUGGGCAACCUGCCCAAAAGAGGGGGAUAACACUUGGAGACAGGUGCUAAUACCGCAUAACCAUAGUUACCGCAUGGUAACUAUGUAAAAGGUGGCUAUACUACCGCUUUUGGAUGGGCCCGCGGCGCAUUAGCUAGUUGGUAGGGUAAAGGCUUACCAAGGCAAUGAUGCGUAGCCGAAUUGAGAGGUUGAUCGGCCACAUUGGGACUGAGACACGGCCCAAACUCCUACGGGAGGCAGCAGUAGGGAAUCUUCCACAAUGGGCGAAAGCCUGAUGGAGCAACGCCGCGUGGGUGAAGAAGGUCUUCGGAUCGUAAAACCCUGUUGUUAGAGAAGAAAGUGCGUGAGAGUAACUGUUCACGUUUCGACGGUAUCUAACCAGAAAGCCACGGCUAACUACGUG
rnacentral:rRNA from 1 species